rnacentral:misc_RNA from 1 species
UCCGGCUUAACGCCGGCAGUCCUCCUAGAGUGCCCAACUUAAGGGUGGCAACUAAUGGCGAGGGUUGCGCUCGUUGCGGGACUUAACCCAACAUCUCACGGCACGAGCUGACGACAGCCAUGCAGCACCUGAACCGGCGGUCCCCGAAGGGAAGAUCCUAUCUCUAGGACUGUCCGCCGUUGUCUAGCCCAGGUAAGGUUCUUCGCGUUGCUUCGAAUUAAACCACAUGCUCCACCGCUUGUGCGGGCCCCCGUCAAUUCCUUUGAGUUUCAGCCUUGCGGCCGUACUCCCCAGGCGGGGCACUUAAUGCGUUAGCUGCGACACCGAACCCGUCUAUAGGCCCGGCAUCUAGUGCCCAUCGUUUACGGCGUGGACUAC